CAGAAAAUAGUUUAUUUGUAAAACAAAAGCUUUGGGAGCUUUAAAUUUAGGGCACUAAUUUUCUGA
rnacentral:tRNA from 1 species